AGAGUUUGAUCAUGGCUCAGAAUGAACGCUGGCGGCGUGCUUAACACAUGCAAGUCGUACGAGAACGCUUCAGCUUGCUGAAGCUAGUAAAGUGGCGUACGGGUGAGUAACGCGUGGGUAAUCUACCUUCGAAUUGGGGAUAACGUUGCGAAAGUGACGCUAAUACCGGAUAAUAUCAUAGAGACCUUGGUUUUUAUGAUCAAAGAUGGCCUCUCCUUGGAAGCUAUUGUUUGGAGAUGAGUCCGCGUUAGAUUAGCUUGUUGGUGGGGUAAUGGCCUACCAAGGCGACGAUCUAUAGCUGGUCUGAGAGGACGAUCAGCCACACUGGGACUGAGACACGGCCCAGACUCCUACGGGAGGCAGCAGUGAGGAAUUUUGCGCAAUGGGGGAAACCCUGACGCAGCAACGCCGUGUGAGUGAAGAAGGCCUUCGGGUUGUAAAACUCUGUCAAGCGGGAAAAACAUUUUGCGGUGAAUAGCCGCAGAAUCUGAUGGUACCGCUGGAGGAAGCACCGGCUAACUCCGUGCCAGCAGCCGCGGUAAUACGGAGGGUGCAAGCGUUGUUCGGAAUUACUGGGCGUAAAGCGCGUGCAGGCGGUUUGGCAAGUCAGAUGUGAAAGCCCUGGGCUCAACCCAGGAAGUGCAUUUGAAACUGCCAAUCUUGAGUAUGGGAGAGGAGAGUGGAAUUCCCAGUGUAGAGG
rnacentral:rRNA from 1 species